rnacentral:lncRNA from 1 species
CUCGUAAGGGUUGUAUGGGGAAGCGCUACAGGAGGAAAUAUGACUUGGGAGUUGGAAAGCAUGAUGCGAGAGUCAUAUCCAGAGUUUUUCGCCUCAAGUAAUUUUUGAGGACGAAAAUAUUCUAAGUGGGGGAGAGUUGCAACUCCCCGAUUUUAUUCAAAUUAUUUUUCAUAAUUUUAUUAUGUGAUAAUUGUAGUUGUGUUGUGUUGAUUGGUGUUUUGAUGUGUUGUGUUACCCUUGGUGUG